ACUCAAAUGAAUUGACGGGGACUUGCACAAGUAGUGGAUUAUGUGGUUUAAUUCGACGAUAAACGAAGAACCUUACCAAGGUUAGAAAUCAACGUGAAAGCCCCGAGAAACCGGGGCCCUCGCAAGACUAGUUGACAGGUGAUGCAUGGCCGUCGUCAGUUCGUGGUUUGAAUUGUUCCCUUAAGUGGGGUAACGAACGCAACCCUCGUCGUGUGUUAUAAGUGUCACACGAGACUGCCCCGACCCAAGGAUAUAAUUAUUUAUAAUUGUCUCUUUCGGUCGGGGAGGAAGGGGAGGAUGACGCCAGGUCAGCAUGUCCCUUGAUACCUUGGGCUACACACAUAAUACAAUCGCAAUUACAACGGGCAGCGACGGGGUAACCCUGAGCGAAUCCUUUAAAAAUUGCGCCAGUUCGGAUUGGGGGCUGCAACUCGACCCCAUGAAGUUGGAAUUACUAGUAAUCGCGGGUCAGACAUACCGCGGUGAAUACGUUCUCAAGUCUUGUACACACCGCCCGU
rnacentral:rRNA from 1 species